UAUACUCAUUCAUACACAUGACAUCUAGUCAUAUUUGACUCCAACAAUCUAACAAAGCUUCUUUUUGCUUCUCAUAGCUUUGAAGGUGUAGCCGAAGUCCGUAUGAGUCUUGGGCUUUCUAUCUUCUAACAAGGAAACACUACUUUGGCUUUCGGUUGCGGUUCUAAGUCUUAUACUUAAUCAUCCACAUGACAUCAAGUCAUUUUUGACUCCA
rnacentral:sRNA from 1 species